rnacentral:rRNA from 1 species
UGGGGAAUAUUGCACAAUGGAGGGAACUCUGAUGCAGCAACGCCGCGUGCGGGAUGACGGCCUUCGGGUUGUAAACCGAUUUCAGCCAUGACGAAGCUUUUGUGACGGUAGUGGUAGAAGAAGCACCGGCUAACUACGUGCCAGCAGCCGCGGUGAUACGUAGGGUGCGAGCGUUGUCCGGAAUUAUUGGGCGUAAAGAGCUUGUAGGCGGUUUGUCGCGUCGAUAGUGUAAACACGCAGCUUAACUGUGUGCCUGCUGUCGAUACGGGCUGACUAGAGGAGGGUGGGGGAGAAUGGAAUUCCCGGUGGAGCGGUGGAAUGCGCAGAUAUCGGGAGGAACACCAGUGGCGAAGGCGGUUCUAUGGACCUUUCCUGACGCUGAGAAGCGAAAGCGUGGGUAGCAAACAGG